rnacentral:rRNA from 1 species
ACGCUCGACACCUACUGGAGGCAGCAGUGGGGAAUAUUGCACAAUGGGGGAAACCCUGAUGCAGCGACGCCGCGUGGAGGAAGAAGGUCUUCGGAUUGUAAACUCCUGUUGUUGGGGAAAAAGAGGAUGGUACCCAACAAGGAAGUGACGGCUAACUACGUGCCAAGCACGCCGGACGGUAAUCUGGAGGCGGGCUGGACAAGGC